rnacentral:rRNA from 1 species
UACGUAGGGGGCAAGCGUUGUCCGGAAUCAUUGGGCGUAAAGCGCGCGUAGGCGGCCCGGUAAGUCCGCUCUGAAAGUCCAGGGCUCAACCCUGGAAAGCGGGUGGAUACUGCCGGGCUAGAAUCCGGAAGAGGCGAGUGGAAUUCCCGGUGUAGCGGUGAAAUGCGCAGAUAUCGGGAGGAACACCCGUAGCGAAGGCGGCACUCUGGGCCGGUACUGACGCUGAGGAGCGAAAGCGUGGGGAGCAAACAGG